CCUACGGGAGGCAGCAGUGGGGAAUAUUGCACAAUGGGGGAAACCCUGAUGCAGCAACGCCGCGUGAGUGAUGACGGUCUUCGGGAUGUAAAGCUCUGUCUUCAGGGAAGAAAAUGACGGUACCCGAGGAGGAAGCCACGGCUAACUACGUGCCAGCAGCCGCGGUAAUACGUAGGUGGCGAGCGUUGUCCGGAUUUACUGGGCGUAAAGGGAGCGUAGGCGGACUUUUAAGUGAGAUGUGAAAAACUCGGGCUCAACUUGAGUACUGCAUUUCAAACUGGAAGACUAGAGUGCAGGAGAGGUGAGUGGAAUGCCUGGUGUAGCGGUGAAAUGCGUAGAUAUUAGGAAGAACACCAGUGGCGAAGGCGACUCACUGGACUGUAACUGACGCUGAGGCUCGAAAGCGUGGGGAGCAAACAGGAUUAGAUACCCCUGUAGUC
rnacentral:rRNA from 1 species